UUAAAGCAAUCUUUUUAUUGUUGCAAGUUAGAGCAUAAGCGGAUAUUGAUUCAAAUCGUGACUGAGGGGGAAAAGGUAUCAGUCAUAGCGUGACGGUUUUAGUUGCAGUGGCAUCGUGGCAGCAGUUGACUUUCUACCACUUUUACACUCUUUUCUGGAGACCAGAAAGACAAUAACAAUAGGAUUAUAUAGAUGAUGAAGGCCAGGAGAAGUACUGUACAUGGAGAAGAGACAAGCAAGAAAGGCACAAAGGAGAGAGGGAGACCUGAAACAUGAAGGCAAAACAGACACACAGAUGAAGAAAAACAGGGGUACAGACAAAGAAAUGGAAGACAGGGACAAAGAGAAGGUAUUCAUUUUAACAAUACAUUUUGGGUAUUUAUUUCUACUGUUCCAUGAUUGAUUUGCUGUUGUCUUGUGUCACAGUAGUGAAAGAUAAUAAGAGACAAGACGGAUGGACAACACCAACUUCUGCCAGUGAGCCCUUGCUGAACAAGUUUGGGUUCCAUACCUCUGCACACCACCUUUCUAUGAAGACUUUGGAGAAGCCAGCAACAAAUUAAGGACAUUUCAAUAAUGUACUGGCUGCAUCCUUUACAAACUCACAAUCCCUCUGUAUCUGUCUCUCAACCACUGGAUUGCCUGUCACUAAAUGGCUCUCUCUCUCACUACCUCCCUCACUCCCUCCCUCUCACACACAAACUCUCUCUCUCUCUCUCUCUCUCUCUCUCAUACAUUUAUCUUGGCAUCAGUCUUAUCCCAUUGAAAUGUAGAGGUUUCGAUAGAGUAAUAUCCAUUUGUGUUGUAGUUCUGAUAACAGUAAGAUCAUUUUGUAUCUCUGGUAAUGUGUAUCUGGUAAUAUGGAUCCAUUUGUGUUCUACUUCUGAUAAGAAUAAGAUCAUUUUAUAUCUGGUAAUAUGUAUCUGUGGAGUAAAAAUAAUAAUUGGAUUUCACAUAUCCUUGUUUUAUUAAAAUAUGGAGAUUGACUCUUAAAAUUGGCUCUCUCUCUCUCUCUACUGUCUCUUCUUCUGUUGUUUGCCUUGUCGCUCUCACUCUUUCUGGUUUGAUCUGAACAAUAAACACUGUCAGAAUUUUGGCAAAUGCUGGAGUAAUCUCAAACCUGUUUCACUGUGGAGCUUAUUUGGGGCACACUGUUAGUGGCAGUUUGCUAUCUUUUUUUCUGAAUUUACAGCAAGGAGAUAUGGCAUGUGCCAAGUAGGGAUGAACAUUAUUCUGUAUGUGUGUUUCAAGACUGACUUUUGAGGGCCCCAUGCCUGUAUUUCGCCGAGGGCCCCAAAAUAGCUAGAACCGCCCCUGCUCCCAACCACACACGCCCGCACACACACAAGGCGUCUGGUUGGGGAGAGAGCUCUCUUCCUCUGCUCUCUCUCUCUCCUUAUAUAGGGCGUGGUCACUGGGGAAGACAUACAAACACAUGUUAACUGACAUCAGGUGCAGUGAUUCUGCCACUUACCUUCCCUGACUCUGCCCUCCGGUCACAAACCGACACUUGACCAUGCCCCCGCUGCCACACCCGGCUUGCACUCUGCAAAAUGUAUACUGUUCUUACUCAUCGGGUGACAUUGGGCAUACCUAACAACCUGUGUUUUCUCUCUAUUCCCCCCCCCCGUCUGUUCCUCUGAGUUACAUGUCAAUCCUGAGAUCAAGAUGCUGAACCUCCUCUGCUCCUCAGACCUGCCUGAUCCAUCCUGGUGCCCUGUGUCUGGUUGGAUUCUCAUCACAUCGCUCCUGUGGAGGACGGCCCCAUAUGGACAGUUGAAAGUCACACCUGGAGGACGCUCUGGACUCUUACAGUAAUGCUUUUAUGGCUGAGGACUACAGUUGACUUGCUAACUUUAGGACUGCAGUUGUCAUGAACAGUUUUGCACUCAAGUUUCCAUCAAUGAAGAGUUUAUAUCAUCAAUGAAACUGACCAUGUUAAAACUGCUAAAAAUGUUAUAAUCACAUUGUCUGUUGUCGCCCAAAUGAGGAUGGGUUCCCUUUUGAGUCUGGUUCCUCUCGAGGUUUCUUCCUCAUGUCAUCUGAGGGAGUUUUUCCUUGCUACUGUCACCACAGGCUUCAUCAUUGGGGAUAGAUUAGGGAUAAAAUUAGCUCAUGUUUAAAGUCAUUAAAAUUUUGUAAAGCUGCUUUGCAACAAUGUCUAUUGUUAAAAGCGCUAUAAAAAAUAAACUUGACUUGACUAUGAAAA